GCUGGCUUCUCCUUCAUUGAACACCGAAAUGUCGAUCAGUGGGAUACUAGCUGGCCUUAAGUGGGCAGGACUUACUUGAUGGGAUCCGAUGAAUCUCUACCAGUGUUGUGGAGUGGCCAUUUGGCAAGGCGGGCAACCGAGGCACUGCAUCCUGAAAUAUCUCUUCAUCAUCCGAAUCCACCAGAUUCAGGUAAAGUGGCAGAACUUUUCUUCACCAUCACUCGUGGCAACGUGCUUUCCUGUGCACCGAAGCUCCUGACCGUCCCUCAGUAGCGUCCUGUUGAGCGUCACCUCCACCGUGUCUUCUGUGGAGUUGAGCA